GGCACAUUCCUAGCUGAGGUCCCAACCAAGAGCCAGCAUGAACCACUAGACACUUGCACAUGUGAGCCUUCAUAUGAUGCAGUCCUCAGGCUUGGAGCCAGUCCAGGUAAUGGAGCAGAGACUGGAGCAGAGACAAGUUGUUCCCACUGAGCUCUCCUCAGAUUACAGAUUGGGAGUGGCAAAUCAAAGGCAUUGCAGCCUCUUUCAUCACUGCCGAUUGCUGAUGCCAACCAUGUGCCAAGUGCUUAAUACGUCACCUUAAAUCUUCUCAUCCACCCUCAGAGACAUUCUUAUUCAAAAGAAAGAACACCGAAAUUGACCUUACCCUGACAAUAUGAUGGCUGAAGGAUUUAUGAUCACUUAUAACAUUUGAAAUUGAGGCGGAACCUGAAGAAUAAGACUCUGGUGAAAGGUCCUAUUUAUGCUUUUGAUGUCUUUCACUUGGACAUUUACCACAUGCCUAUUGGUAGGUUUGUUACAUAGGUCAGUUAAGGUGAUACAAGAAUAAAUAAAACACUAUCCCUAUCCUUUAAUAUCAUUUAUUUAUGGGGUCAAUCACAGAUUUUCAUUUUUCAAAAUCUUUGAUAAAUGUCAGAAUUAUGUUUUUUAAUAUUUUUACAGAAUUAUUACAAUAUAUGGUAGAGGAUGGAAGGCAAGGUAGUAUGAAACGGAAAAGAUAUUUUGAAUUAAGGUAUUUGGACCUGGAUUAAUAUUUUUGCUUUGGUCUUUAUUAGCUGAGUGACCUUGAGAAAGUUCUUCUACUAAAAAAGAACAAAGAUAAUAAUUACUUCAUGAAAUUGCUGUAAAAAACACAUAACAAGUAUAUCCAGACUCAACAGUGUAUGCUCAAAAAUGCAGAUCCUUUUUCCCUUACCUGCAAAUAAAGUCUUACAGUAAUACAGUGGGGGUAAAGGUUUAAACUGGUGGAUUCAAGAAGGGCUAUAGAAAGAGGUAGCAUCUUAAUAGGGGAAGGAGAGGAUCCAAGAAAUCAGAUCCAUUUUCUACAAAAAGAAAUGGGAAGACAGAUAAUUCAAGAAGAAAAGUUUACAUGAUUAAAGACCCGAAGUUAGAAAUAGUGAUGUGUCUCAAUAGUAAGUUAGGAAUUGGGGUGGACACAAUUGUUGGAAGAAGGAUGGUUUCAGCAAAGGCCCAAGUUAGGUGACAAUUUCAAGUGUUUGUGAAGAUAUAUGAACAAAAUUAUAAAGUAGUUAGGGUAUAAGAAAUAGGGAGGAGGGAAUGAAUUAACAUUUAUGGAGUGUCUUGCAUGUUCCAAGCACUGUACUACUUGCCUUAUAAACCUUUCUUCAAUAAACGCCUACAACAAUCCUGAGA
rnacentral:lncRNA from 1 species